UACGGAGGGUGCGAGCGUUGUCCGGAUUUAUUGGGUUUAAAGGGUGCGUAGGCGGUCUGGUAAGUCGGCGAUGAAAGCCCGGGGCUCAACCCCGGAACUGUCGUCGAUACUGUCGGACUUGAGUGUGGUGGAGGCUGGCGGAAUGGGCGGUGUAGCGGUGAAAUGCAUAGAUACCGUCCAGAACCCCGAUUGCGAAGGCAGCUGGCUGUACCAUUACUGACGCUGAGGCACGAAAGCGUGGGGAGCGAACAGG
rnacentral:rRNA from 1 species